ACCUUUUAUCGCUAUCACGAGGCUAGGGUUCCGAUUUCGUGAUUUUUGGAAGCUUUCGCCGCGAGCUGCAGCAAUCUGUACCUUAACAGCUUCGUUCUUUAAUAUCUUCACGUAGCCUCGUCGUAUAGCCGAACCGACUUCGCCGACGCGUCAGAAAACCUAGCAAUUAGGUUUAUACAUGAUCAAUUUAGAUCAAACCCUCACAUAUUGCAAAAUCCCAUUUUUGAGCCCUAACAUGCAAUUACCUCCAAAUAAUCCAAAUUAAAUGGAGCAACAUGCUAAGAAUGCUUAUUAGAGGCUACUAGAACACUUAAGGUUAAGGAUUAAGCCAAAUCCCAAAAGUUUACCAAAAUGUGAACGCCGAGACGGAAGCACGCCGCUCCAACGGGCGCACGAAAGCUCGAUCCGUCGCUCCCAACGCGUUCGCAAGCUCGUUCUCCGCCAACGCCGUGAAUUUGGGCGAAAGAUCUAGAGAGAUGAGAGAGUUAUUUAGAGAGAGAAAGUGAGAAUUUCUCUCACUGCCACCAUGAACGUGUGGUGUUGUCGGGGUGGUGGCGGCUGUGAAGAAGAAGAAGACUAGAAGCUUCUACUUAUAGUCAACACUCCAAUAGUAG
rnacentral:lncRNA from 1 species